GGCAGCACUGUUGCAUGACACAGAGUGUCAGACCAAAUAAAAAGGAUAAAGCAAGCUAAGUAGCAGCUUUCAUCUCUGUUGUCUGGCUGUGGGUGUGACGCGAGUCCUAGCACUAUGAACUCUCCGUCCCCGAGAAGUAGCUAGUGCGGCUCUGUAACCUUGAUGUGUACAGAGACGUGUGGUACCGAGGGCUGACCCUAGACACAUUACUAAGAGGAAAGUGCUCUAUCACCCAGCUUUUCCUCCAGCACCCCGCCUCCUCUAUUUAUAUAGACCAGGCUAGUUUCCAACUCUAGAUUGAUCCUCCUUCCUCUCAAGCGAUGAGAUCACAGUACGUCUGCCAUCUACACCUUGUUCUUUCUUUAGGAUAGCUUAGCCUAAACACAGGACACUUUACGUUGAUACUACAAGUAACUCUAUGUUAUAAAAACAAGGACUUUAUAUGGAAAGUUUAGCAGAGAUGCAGAAUAUAUGAACACUGUCACAGAACACAAUAUAGGAGUGGCUCGUGCCUGACACACCAGAUUUGGGAACCUAAGGUAAAAGAAUUGAUGCAAGUUCAAGCCAGCCAACAUAAGUUCCAGGCCAGCCUGGCCUAGACUUGUCUCAAAUAAAUAAACACUAUGUGAACACUGAGGAUUUAAUGGAUUUCUCAUACUAACCAAACAACAAAAAUUUUUCAUUAUCAAGACAGUGUCAUUUACAAUAUUUUCAGGAACUAAAAGCAAAUUAACUUUGGAAAAUAUAUUUCAUCUAGGGUUUCUUAUAGAAUCUCACUGUAACCCAGGCUGGCUUCAAACUUCUAUGUAAAGGAAAAUGACUUUCAACUUACUAUCCUGCCUUCAAUCCCCAAACAGUGUGACUACAAGGCACAUGCCACUGCAUCCAGUCUGGGUUUAAUGUCUUAAAAGGCCUACAAUGUAACAAUUUCUAUUCCAGAACAGUCCUAAUGCAGAAUCAAUUUUCAGUAAAUAAGGAUUUUCCGAUAUUGAAGUUUUACAUGUAUAUCAAACUUCUUUCCCCAUCUAUUUCCAAAUCUAAGAAGUUUGUCUAGAUUGUUCACCAAAAUUAGAAAUUAAGGGAUUUAGAAAAAAAAAAAAAGCUUUUCUUUAAACAACUUUAACAAUAAACAGACAAUCUAAAGAGACAUGUAAGUUAUACUUCAAAACUAGCCCAUGUUCAUUCUCACCUCAAAGCUCGCCCCAUAGUCUCAUAGUUCAUAUCUGGUUUGUUCUUGUGCUUUCCCCAAAGCUUCGAGACAGCCUUUGAGUCCACGAGUUUGAAUAUGCCCUUUUCUCUCUGAGUCCACUUAAUAUACCUGGGACAAGUAUUUUUAUCUUGAAGUAGGUCUAAAAGAAACUCCCACAGAUAAGUUGUGUUUCCUUUAAAAACAAAAACAAUGAUAGGUAUUAAUUUAAAAUUCAUUAAUAUGAUUAAUUGCAAAUAAAAUACCCUGAUUUACAAUAAAAAUAUUAAAUAUACUUAUCUGCCAUUUCUUUUUGAGGUGAGAUCUCAUUUUGCAGCCUUGCGAGACCUGCAAAUUGCUACAGACUAAGCUGCUCUCAAAGCUGCCUCUGCCUCCCAAAUGCUGGGAUCAAAGGCCUGCAGCACCAUGCCCAGACUACGUGUCUAUUCUUAAAAAUCUAUGCUUUUCCUCAAGGAAGCUGACAGAGGCCCUGGAUCUCUACUGUCCUAUGUCCUGUAUCCAAGGCUUCAACUUCAGUAAAGGAAAUAGCAUAAUGCUUAGUAUAACACAAGAGUAUAAUGCUGAGUUAAACAGAUUUGAACUCAAUAUAAUAACCUGUACAUGUUUUAUAUUCUAUGCCAAGUCCCUUAAAACUCAUCAGAAGGCACUAACCAGCUUUGCUAUUGUUAGUGCUGAGGCGGUCUCAGAGCCUAGGCUGACCCUACAGCCUCCACCUCCCCAGUGCUUGUGCCAGUGCUUGGGACAUCAAUCAGGACCUUUUUGCAAGAAAUCCUUUUCUUUGAUUAACCAGGAGGCCGGAACUGUGGGGCACUUGCCUACAGGAUGCCUCAAUCCACGAACUCUUAUGAUCUCUGAACAGCUAGUAAAUGUAAACUGAACUACCAUAUAAUUAGUCCUGGAUCACACCACUAGCAACAUCAAACAUUUAUGCAAAAUAAAAUGUCUACACUUGAAGCUGGAGAGAUGGCUCAGUGGUUACAAGCUCAUACUGUUUUCCAGAGGACCAAAACUUCCAUCUUAGCGCCCAUACCAGGGCAGCUCAAUAGGUUUACUACCUAUUAACUCCAGCUCUGAGACUGUAAUGCCUCUGGCCUCCACGGCACCUGCACUGACUGACAUGCACCUACAGACAUAUACACAUGAAUAAAAAUAAAAAUGGCAUCUAUGUGUAUCUAUGACAGUCUGAUGUCUGCCUCAAGGAACGAACAAUUUAGGGAAGGGGGCAGAUGACAAGAUAAGACAAUGAUGUAGGAUCAGCCCUAAACAAUGUAAGACAUGUCACAAGGCACUGUGUCUCAAAAAGAAUCACAGAAACCAGUGGCUCAGAUUUCAGGAAUGGUUAAGUCUUGGAAGACAGUUAAUAUAUGCAUAAAGGGGAAGAUUUUGCAAAGUACAAUAAAUAAACCCAAAAGGAAGAAAAGGAUUCUCUUAUUUAUUAAUUUCCCUUGGAAAGGGGAAGAGAACCUGCACCUUGAGAAAGCCAGACUUUGCGAGCUGUUUUCCAUUUUCUUCCUGCAGAGCCUCUAGGAACAGGGAUCCUUAAACUGAUGAAAGAAGACUCCUGAGAGAAAAAGUGGGAAUAGGUGAAGCAUCCAUUGGUUCGGACUCUUCCGUCGAUACCUCUACUACAGUCUCUGUAAUGACAUCUGGCCUCAUCGCAGCAUGGAUGAACUCUGGAGUUGAUAUACAAGGAGGGACAAACACUUCCACUAUAAAAAAAAGUUGAAAAAUUAAAAUUCCCCACCCCUAUUAUAGUUUCCUAUGUGGAAAGUUCAAUAUUUAGAAGAGGCAAGGUUUACAGAAGAAUUAUUCAAAGUAAGAUUAAGAACUUGUGCCUGAAGAAAUCAAGUAACUGAAUAUCCAAAAUGAUCUAAAAUACACAAGGACAAUCACUUUGACAGUUAUGAAGCCAACCUCUUUUUCAUGUUUUUAGAGACUUUUUAAAGAAGACUUAUUUUUAUUUUAUGUGUACGGAUGCUUUGCUUGCAUGUUUGUGCACUUAUGUGCUGAAUGCUUCCAGAAGCCAGAAGGGGGCAUCAGAUCCUCUAGAAUUGGGAGUUACCAUGUGGGUGUGGAAACCAAACCCAGGUCCUCUGCAAGAGCACACUUAACCUGAGCCAUCUCUCCAACUCCCUUUAAACUUAUAGGUUAAUUAUAGCAACAUUUUACAUUAUUAUUUUGACAAAGAAAAUUAAAAAAUAAUCGUCCUUAAAUAAUUACUUCCAUUGUACAUAUCUGCCAUUAUUUAUUAACUGAGGAAUACAAGGACAUGAUACAAAAUGUAAAAAUGUACAAAUGUAUAUUCAGUACAAAGUAUAUAUUUUUUCAUUUUAAAAUAUGAAAAAGGGCCUAACUGUUCAUUUCAGGACAGUCACUAAAUAUUAUUGUAAAUCACUAAAAUAGUACAUACAGAUUUGCUAUCUGGUAUUCUACUACAUAAUGUGUUGUUUCAACUCCCAUCACAUACACAUGAAUAACCAGGAUACCACACUUCUACUUCAAAUUAGGAAAUCCAGAUACUGUCUCCUAACAUGGAUCAAUAUGCUACCCAGCAAAGCCACCGUUUACUUCUCAUAACCUUGAAGAAUGGACUGGAUUCCUGAGCUAACUAAAAAUAUGAUUGUAGGAAAAAUGGAAAAUGGCUAAGUGUUUUAAAGAACACCGACUGCCCUUUCAGGAAUGGAAUACAAUUCCCAACAUCUACAUGACAGCUCACAACCAUCUUUAACUCUAGUCCCAAAGGAUCUGGCCCUCUCUUCUGGCACCCAUGGGCAUCAAACACACACAUGUGCAGACAUGCAUGCAGGCAAACACCCAUACACAUAAAGUAACCUUUUAAAAUUGGCUGCGGUUAGCAACUAACUAUAAUUCCUGCACAAUGAAUUAAAAUUAGGACAAAAUCAAACUAGUGCAACACUACUAUUAAAGUCAAUCUACAAGGAAAAAGGAGCCUUAUUUCACAAGAUGAAAGGUGUGUAAGAUAAUUCCUUCCCGCUCUACCAUGGCAGUUCCAUGUAGUUACUGCCUGCUGAUCAGUAAGUAACGGAGUCAAAGACUAUAGGAAGCAAAUGGUCCAACUGUUCCUACUCUUAAGGACUACAACCACCUACAAUUUACCAGAAUCAAGAAAAUAAACAUUAUACAUAAA